rnacentral:rRNA from 1 species
UGGGGAAUAUUGCACAAUGGGGAAACCCUGAUGCAGCGACGCCGCGUGGAGGAAGAAGGCCCUCGGGUUGUAAACUCCUGUCUUCGGGGACGAUAAUGACGGUACCCGAGGAGGAAGCCACGGCUAACUACGUGCCAGCAGCCGCGGUAAAACGUAGGUGGCAAGCGUUGUCCGGAAUUACUGGGUGUAAAGGGAGCGCAGGCGGAGCGGCAAGUUGGAGGUGAAACCCAUGGGCUCAACCCAUGAACUGCCUUCAAAACUGCCGGUCUUGAGUGGUGUAGAGGUAAGCGGAAUUCCCGGUGUAGCGGUGGAAUGCGUAGAUAUCGGGAGGAACACCAGUGGCGAAGGCGGCUUACUGGGCACUAACUGACGCUGAGGCUCGAAAGCAUGGGUAGCAAACAGGAUUAGAUACC